GAAUGGAAACUGGAAGGGCAUCAAAGUUCUCACCAGAAACCCUGAACGGAAUACCAUGGAGAAAUAGAAAUGCCUUCAGGAUCUGGAGGUAAAUGAUUUUAUACCAAACAAUCAGCCAAAGGUGAAGGGAAAAUAAAAACACUUUCAGACAGGCAAGAGUCAAAACUCAGAAUCAUGAAAGAAGAAGCCACAGCCUCUGGAUUAGGGACCCCAGCCCAAGAAAAGGGCAAAGGGGGUCUCAGAGCAGACCGGAGAGGAGGAAGCCAGACCGAGCCCACCUGGACAGAAGGGGGGACCGGGCGAGAAGAGCCCGUAGAGGGAGUGGCCUGUGUGAAUAAUGACAGACAUUGCCAGACCUCUGGCAGAUCCUGCAAAGAGACCGGGACAAAUCGCAAGAACGAGGCAGGCGUCCUUCUGUCUGGGACGGGCAGGCACUCCGCCGGCACCGAGGUCUGAGUGGGGCCUUUCUCUCUGCGGUCAUGGUCAUCGGCCACCUGACGAAGCUGGUGUCUGCCACGUCUGUCCACUGUGAGGUCCCUCACAUGGGUCAUCACAUCCUGCUUCAUUCUUUCUCUUUUUAAAUUUCAAAACAAGCUUAACUUGGGUUGAGGACUCCAAAAAUACGAAGGCGAUGUUAUCCGAAGUCUACGUCCCCAGAGCCAGCCGCAGUGUCGGGGUCCAGUGCCUUGGACUUCCCAGAGGAACCCGCACUCUCAGGGCCACAGGCCUCUCACAGCUGCUCAAAGCGGGGUUUGGGAAGGUAGAGACCCCUUUAUUGACUUAGGGGUUCAUUCCCAAAAGAAUUUAAUGUGCUCUGUACCCCAUCCCUAUAAAAAAUCAAGCAGAAAACUGGAGGAGACGUUUUUGAGGUUGAGAACCUUUUGUUGGGGACCCCAGGGCGGGCAAGGCAGGGGGUGGGAGGGUUGGGCAGGGAGCAGGCGGAUCGCCCCAAGCCAGGGGUGCCUGGAGCCUCGUGCUUCACGCAGACUUGGAGACCCAGCCAGGCCCGCGCAGCCGCCACGGACAGCGCCCCCUCUGGCAGGGGCUGGGACUGCACGCAGAGCCGCCGGGGUGGAAUUCUAACAGAAGGAGCUGAACGAACCGAGGAGACAGACACCUACCCGCUCUGACUCCCAGCUUCCACAGUUGAGCCCCCACGUCAUCAAACCUGCCCGUGAGGGUGAGGGCGUGUGUAGACAUCCGGGUACUAGCAAGCGCUGAACAAACACAGCACUCUGACUUCAUUCGUUACGGCUCUUUUUGUCUGGGUCUUGCUAUGCAUUCCAGGCUGGCCUUGAAUUCAUGGCAUUCCUCCUGCCUCAGCCUCCCCAGCGCUGGGAAUACAGGUGUGUAUCACCCUGUCCAGCUCUAAAAAAUGCUUUUAAUGGAGAGGCCAUGAAGCUAAGAUGGCCCCAGCCUUUCAGCUCCUCAGAGUCAGACAGCACCCAGAUGUAAACAAUCAAAACCAGAGGUGGAAGCAAUCGGAAACCACCAAGCCACCUCUACUCGGGGACUGUCCACAGAUCAGACCCAGUAAGGCAAAGUUCCACUCAGGAGCUCAUGCAGGGUUUUCUCUCUUCUGCUCCCUAGCUUGGCUGCUAUAGCCCAGCCCUGGACCUCUUCUGAUUCUGGGUGCUGCCUGAUACCUGAAUCAUUCUGCCCUCAAAUUAACUCUGUUGAGUUUAUUUUGUCUAAAGUAUGUUGCUGUUGUUGUUAAUACCUUAUCUGUAAACUGGAAACAACUACACGAACUUCACCCAGUCCACAAGAAUUAAAUGAAAAAUCACAACUGAAUCACUUAGCAAAGUACCCAGCAGAGAGUUAAUGCUCACAAAUACUGUUAGUACAAAUCUUUGUUCUGUAUAACGGCCCAGCAUGCCAUACCGGGCUUUGUUCUGUAUAACUGCCCAGGAUGCCAUACCGGGCUCAACAGUUUGGGGGGUGCUUAUUCCACAGUCCUCUCUGCUGGAUCCAAGUUCUAAGGUUCUCUGGUUGCCCUCUCCUGCCCCAGGUUCUCACCACCCAAGCUCCCUUGGGCCCAAGUUGAACCAACUUCCUGCUCCUUGCAGCCCAAGUCCCCUUACCCACUGACACCCCCGCCCCCAGCCCCGGCACCAGGCAGGGAAGGAAGGACCCAGCUCCUGUGCAGUCGCCCCGCUUGCUUGCUGUGGCCUUGAGCAGUGCUCUGGAAGUCUCUUCUUCACCUCCUCAUGGAGAGCGGGGCAGGUUGCACAUACGCGCACUCCCAACACUCCGGGAGGCUGAGGCCGGAGGAUCGAAGCCAAGUCCCCUUCUUGUGAAUCUGCCCCAUCCCAGGAGUAGAAAUGAGUCUCUCCAGCAGCAGCUGUUCCAUACCUGAGCAUCAUUCCCUUCCCUUCGAGGAUCCCCCAGGAUGGUGCCUGUGGGGGUCUCCUCCGCCCCUUCCCUCAUGCUGACCUGAGGCCAUUCCCCCAGCACCACCUUCUCUCUGGCUUCUCUCUACACAGCCAACCCCUGGCCGCCCUCGGGCACCCCGUGGGUGUCACUUUGUCCAGGACAGCUCUCGGUGCCAUGGCAGCACUGCACUGGCACCAGGGGCUGGGCUGGGAGUCGGGUGCAGAGGGGAGAGAGGAGGUCCCGGAUCUGCCAGAGCACAGUGCAGAAGCCAAGGUGACAGAGGAAGAGGAGCCCCAGGUACUGCACACGCUCAGGGAACCCAGCCUAAGCCCAGGAGGCCCUGGAACUGGCACGUGGGGGUCACGGGUGCCUGGCCUGGAGCAAGGCCCCGUGUGGCCUCCUGUAAAGGAAGCUGUCACAGAGGAGCAGUCUGCAGGGUCCCUGGCAGUCAGCUGGCAGCAGCAAAUCUCCAAAGCCAGCGCCAACUCAGCUGGCGGUGCAGGCCCAGCCUGGGGGAGGAGGGGUCACAGGACCUGGUGGCGGGCAGACAGCACCAGCCCUGGCUCUCCGAGGAGGCGGCAGAGAAAGUGCCCAGGACGGGAUCCGUGCAGGCUCGAGGUGAACACGCAACAGGCCACUCAGCAUCUCCCACGUUUCUUUGCAGUGGGAAUUCGGGCUUGACAGCACCGGCCCAGACUUCCUGGUUUAGAGAUCAGUCAGUUCCGGCAGCGACAGGGCUCCAGGUGCCUGUUUCCCUAAAGUGCUCCAAAUGGAUGAGACGUGUGGGACUCUGCGUGAAGGGGCAGGAAAGGGCUGUUUACAUCCACACCUGCUCGGCCCACCUGCCCUACAGACUCACGCUAUCAAAUGUUUUCUAGUUGCUAUGACAAUCAAAUCACAGAGCCAGUAUUUGUUAUUGUUCCAGAGGGAAAAAAAGGAAGGACGGUACUGUGAGGCCCAAGUUCAUGUGUCAGUGGGCAGCUGAGUCACCCUGCCAUGGUCUGCCGAGUCCCAGAGCCAUUUUCCUAGGGUCUGAGACUCACACCUGCCACCCCUCUUCCCCAAGAGGAUGGUCCCCUGUCCGAGUCUUUCAACAAGCCCAGGUGGCAGACACCCCGGCCUGAGGACCACCAGCAGCCUGCAGGUGGGCAGCGAAGUCACCCAUGAGGACUCUGCCCUGCCCCAUGGAGUGGCAACUACCAGGCACUGCUGAGACCUCUUUCCUGAGUAUCUUUAGUUACACUGCUGCAACUGCCUCCAGGUCCUGAAUCCAUUCAAAACAUUUACCUUCCACGGUCAUUUUGACCUUGGGGAAAGACAGACUUUGCAGGGUGCCAGAUGCAGUGGCUAAGUGAGGGGAGGCACACCCUAAUUGCCUUUCUGUCGGAGGGCACUCAUCAGCAGUUUUCACAUCUCAUGAAGACGCUUAGGAAAGAGGACUCUAGAACUGCUCCAGAAAGUGGCCAGAACAGUGGGCUGAGUGUGUUCAAGGGGAAUUAAUGGCAGUGUAUCUUUUCCCAUGAUACAUUUUUGAAAUUGAAACCUCCACCAUGUACCUUGAUCACCUUGUAUUUCAUAGAUGGUUUCUAGAGUUGCCUAGCACUCGGCUGGCUCUGCGAGGGCCAAGCCACUUGAGUUCUCCAAGCCUCUGCCUCCUUGUGCACAACAGAGGGGAAGUAACACCACCUCAACAGAUUGCUCUGGGGAAGAAAGGCAAAAGCGCCAAUCAAGUGUUUACAUGGUACCUAGUUGCUAUGGUUUAUAUCUAGAUGUCCACAAGAGCACAUAGGCGAGGCUUUUGGAAGUUGAUUGUAUCAUGGGUCUUAUAGCUGACUUGCUGUUGGAGGAGGGGCCUGGACAGAAGAGGCGGCUCCCUGUGUGUGCCCAGGAAAGGUUCUACCUCCCUCCGGCUCCUUGCUCAACACCCUCUGCUUCCUGGAUACCUUGAUUCGAGCAGCUGUUCCCCUGCCAGGGCCCUCUUCCAUGCUGUCCUGCCUUGGAGCCAACGGACUACAGACUGAAACCUCUACAAACAUAAGCCAAAAUAAACCUCUGCUCCCACUAGUUGUAGGUGUUGGAUAUGAGAAAGUACUGAAGACACUAGCACGGUGCAAAGCACUCAGUACAUCAAUACAUGCCCACUGAGGUGGUGGCUGAUUGGCGGGACCCUGGGCAAAGGCCUCUGGACGGCUGGAAGGUGAGGCAGAGGGAGCUCCUGCUCCCCCAGAUACACACGGGGCAGGCAGGG
ensembl:lncRNA